GUUUUAAAGUUGAUUCAUACUUUUUUUUUGUUAGGAUUUUGAACUUUAAACAUUUUUUUACUCGUCAAACAUCUAAUUAUCAUGCAAUUGCUCAUACGGCAUUAUCCUUUUCAUUAUCGGCAUUAUCCCGACCAACAAUAACAGCAUAUGACUGCACUGAAUUCAUCAAAAAAAGCAUGUAUUUUCAAUCUUUGUCAGUUCCAUGCAGCGGUGAGUGUUCUUGGAUGGCAGCGCUCGAGACCGGGGUUCAAGUCCUGGCACACUCGAUCAUUCUGCCUGAGCGAAGUCAUGUGGUCUAAGUGACAAACAUCAUUCAGACCAGUGAGUGACAGAGUGAAGUCUGAAGAUUAAGCUUACUACCAUGUGUGUUAAAUGUCAUAUGUAGCCCGUCUCUAUGACAUCAAAUCAUAUAAAAGCCCUACUAUGGUCGGUCUCCACGGGAACCAGUCGAUUUCAUGAGCCUUACAAUGUGAAAUUAUUCAUUAGGUCAAGUAUAACUUUCAACUAUACACAGGUCUGGUCUCCGUGGUGCAGUGGAGAGAGCACACGACUCUAGACCCUUGAGUUCUGGGUUCAAGUCCCGUCAGUAUGUCUCCUUUGAACUUUUUAUUUUAAAAAUUGUAAGGGAAGGGGGGGGGAACUUUACUUUCCCUCACUAACGAUUUACAAUAAUGUGUCCUACUAAAAAUUAGCAAGAGGAUAUACAUGACAUUAAAAUGUAUGUGUGUAUUUCUAUUAUUUCCCUUAUGUUUUUUUUCAUGACGACCAAUAAGAAACGACAGUGUUACCCCUUAUGUUUUUUUUCAUGACGACCAAUAAAAAACAACAUGUUACCCUUAUGUUUUUUUCAUGACGAC
ensembl:lncRNA